GCCUGGGUGGCUCAGUAGGCUGAGCGUCCGACUUCAGCUCAGGUCACGAUCUCACAGCUCGUGGGUUCAAGCCCUGCAUCGGGCU
rnacentral:tRNA from 1 species